rnacentral:rRNA from 1 species
CCUACGGGCGGCAGCAGUCGAGAAUUAUUCACAAUGGGGGAAACCCUGAUGGUGCGACGCCGCGUGGGGGAAUGAAGGUCUUCGGAUUGUAAACCCCUGUCAUGUGGGAGCAAAUUAAAAAGAUAGUACCACAAGAGGAAGAGACGCCUAACUCUGUGCCAGCAGCCGCGGUAAUACAGAGGUCUCAAGCGUUGUUCGGAAUCACUGGGCGUAAGGCGUGCGUAGGCUGUUUCGUAAGUCGUGUGUGAAAGGCGCGGGCUCAACCCGCGGACGGCACAUGAUACUGCGAGACUAGAGUAAUGGAGGGGGAACCGGAAUUCUCGGUGUAGCAGUGAAAUGCGUAGAUAUCGAGAGGAACACUCGUGGCGAAGGCGGGUUCCUGGACAUUAACUGACGCUGAGGCACGAAGGCCAGGGGAGCGAAAGGGAUUAGAUACCCUAGUAGUC